rnacentral:lncRNA from 1 species
AGACACAAAUGGCUGUUAAUGACUAUGAAGCUACUUAUAGAAUUCAUUAAAAAUAAAAAAAUGAAGUCACACCUCCUUUGCAAAUAUCCUGCCGCUUCUUCUAAAUUCAAAUAAUAUUUGAAAUAUUAUUUCUUGCUCUCCAUGAAUAGAUCCCUUCAUAUUUUCCAUUUAAAUCUAUCUUGAAAUUUACUCAUCGUGGUAAAAGAUUGGAUAUAUCCAUCCCCAUGAAGGAAUAUAACCUCAAUCUAGGCUGGGUAUCCAUUCUUUCACCCCUUGGUAGAAAAAUUUUCUGCAGACUCAUGAUUAUCACCGUCUUUUCCUUUGUCCUUUACUCUGGAUGAAUAUAGAAGUCUAUUCCUUCUAUCCUUACUUGAUGAAGAACGAUCUAAGCAAAGGAAAACAUAUGAAAGUUUCGAAUUUCGUAAUAUGCGUUUGUAAUAUUGAACUUUUUGCUCUUUCAAAAUUGGUUUAAUUUUUGUUAAAACAAAAAAACUUAAUUAAUUGACUGAGGAUAGUUAUUUACAGAGUAGAGACGGAGCAAAAGAUGAUAUUUCCUAGUUGGAACAACAGUUGUAAAUAUUCCUAAUAUAUUUCAUAGAUCUCAGAAAUUUCAUAGAGAUGUAAAUGAGAAAGUUAACUGAGCGACAAUUUUUUACCAACAUUGCAUAAUAUAAGACUGUGGAGACAGUUGGCAUUGGCAUCCGCACUACCUGCAGCAUCAAAAAGUCAAUUAGAGUCCCAUACAACCAAUAAGAACCUAAAUUUCUUCAACAACAAUAUUUCUGACAUCUGGCUAACCUCCAUGUGAUCCUCCUCCAGCCCUAACUUUGCACUUUGUAGUAUCUUGGAGAAGAAUGUCUGCCGCACCUCUUGGCUAUGAACAGCCAUGACAGCCUGGUCGGGUUGGUUAUGGAAUUACAAAAAACUGGAGCCACAUGCAUUGAAAAACAGACCGUUCACUAAUAAGUGAUAAAGAAAAAAUGAAGAACAUAAUAAUUGAUAAUAUAUGAAUAGAACAAACCCAGGAGUUGCAAGGAAGCAAGGAUGAGUUUUAUAUACAAUGUACAAUACAAACAUACGGUAUAUCAUUAGCUCUUUUAAAGUGUUUCAACACCACCAUUCACAAAUACAUAAUAUAUCG